rnacentral:rRNA from 1 species
GGGUCAGUAGGUUGGUCGUGCCACCGGUACGUACUGGUCUCACUGAUUCCUCCUUCCUGAAGAACCGUAAUGCCAUUAAUUUGGUGUUGCGGGGAAACAGGACUGUUACUUUGAAAAAAUUAGAGUGCUUAAAGCAAGCUAACGCUUGAAUACAUUAGCAUGGAAUAAUGAAAUAGGGCGAUCGAUCCUAUUUUGUUGGUUUCUAGGAUUGACGUA